rnacentral:rRNA from 1 species
GACGAACGCUGGCGGCGUGCUUAACACAUGCAAGUCGAACGGAAAGGCCCUGCUUUUGUGGGGUGCUCGAGUGGCGAAAGGGUGAGUAACACGUGAGUAACCUGCCCUUGACUCUGGGAUAACUUCAGGAAACUGGGGCUAAUACCGGAUAGGAGCUCCUGCUGCAUGGUGGGGGUUGGAAAGUUUCGGCGGUUGGGGAUGGACUCGCGGCUUAUCAGCUUGUUGGUGGGGUAGUGGCUUACGAAGGCUUUGAACGGUAGCCGGCCUGAGAGGGUGACCGGCCACAUUGGGACUGAGAUACGGCCCAGACUCCUACGGGAGGCAGCAGUGGAGAAUAUUGCACAAUGGGCGGAAGUCUGAUGAAGCAACGCCGCGUGCGGGAUGACGGCCUUCGGGUUGUAAACCGCUUUCGCCUGUAACGAAGCGUGAGUGACGGUAAUGGGUAAAGAAGCACCGGCUAACUACGUG